UAGUCCACGCCGUAAACGAUGUCAACUAGCCGUCUGUAGACUUGAUCUGUGGGUGGCGUAGCUAACGCGCUAAGUUGACCGCCUGGGGAGUACGGCCGCAAGGUUAAAACUCAAAUGAAUUGACGGGGGCCCGCACAAGCGGUGGAGCAUGUGGUUUAAUUCGAUGCAACGCGAAGAACCUUACCAUCCCUUGACAUCCAGAGAAUUUUCUAGAGAUAGAUUAGUGCCUUCGGGAACUCUGAGACAGGUGCUGCAUGGCUGUCGUCAGCUCGUGUCGUGAGAUGUUGGGUUAAGUCCCGCAACGAGCGCAACCCUUGUCCCUAGUUGCCAGCACAUAAUGGUGGGAACUCUAGGGAGACUGCCGGUGACAAACCGGAGGAAGGUAGGGAUGACGUCAAGUCAUCAUGGCCCUUAUGGGUAGGGCUACACACGUGCUACAAUGGUCGGUACAGAGGGUUGCCAACCCGCGAGGGGGAGCUAAUCUCAGAAAACCGAUCGUAGUCCGGAUUGG
rnacentral:rRNA from 1 species